rnacentral:rRNA from 1 species
GACGAACGCUGGCGGCGUGCUUAACACAUGCAAGUCGAACGGAAAGGCCCUGCUUUUGUGGGGUGCUCGAGUGGCGAACGGGUGAGUAACACGUGAGUAACCUGCCCUUGACUUUGGGAUAACUUCAGGAAACUGGGGCUAAUACCGGAUAGGAGCUCCUGCUGCAUGGUGGGGGUUGGAAAGUUUCGGCGGUUGGGGAUGGACUCGCGGCUUAUCAGCUUGUUGGUGGGGUAGUGGCUUACCAAGGCUUUGACGGGUAGCCGGCCUGAGAGGGUGACCGGCCACAUUGGGACUGAGAUACGGCCCAGACUCCUACGGGAGGCAACAGUGGGGAAUAUUGCACAGUGGGCGGAAGCCUGGUGCAGCAACGCCGCGUGCGGGAUGACGGCCUUCGGGUUGUAAACCGCUUUCGCCUGUGACGAAGCGUGAGUGACGGUAAUGGGUAAAGAAGCACCGGCUAACUACGUG